rnacentral:lncRNA from 1 species
UAAUGAAUAUCCUUUUGUGCAGGUCUUGGCAUCCUUUCUGUCCUCAUCUGGCUGAUUUUUCCCUUUGCACCUCAUCUCUGGACGGGAGGUAGUGACUUUCUUUAAGAUAACGCAGGAGGGAGCUGGGGACAACAUAUUCCAAUACCCAUUAUCCUUCCCUGUUCAUCUCCAGUGAUCUGUCACAAAUCACAUUUUCCAUCCUUGAAGGCAUAUGCUGUUUUCUGUUCCUGUGCUGCUUAUGAAUGAGAUUUUUCAAAGGACUCAGUACUGGCCUAAUGCAGUUUCUGCUGAAGUCUGUGACAGCCUUAUCGGUGAUUUCAAUGGCAACAGAUAAACUAAAUGGAAAAAUGUCACUUGGAAUAUUCAGCAUGAUUAGAAGAAUGAAUUAGAGAAUGUAUGGAUGAAAUGAAAGAUGAGGCAGUGUGAAGCUACAUUCUGAAAUCUUCAGGAGGAGUCUGAGAUGUUAGCAGGAGUCAAUGUGCUCUUAUCCAUGCA